rnacentral:rRNA from 1 species
UAAUGUGAAUUGCAGAAUUCAGUGAAUCAUCGAAUCUUUGAACGCACCUUGCGCUCCUUGGUAUUCCGAGGAGCAUGCCUGUUUGAGUGUCAUUAAAUUCUCAACUUCAUCAGUUUUGUUAUGAGACUGGAUGAAGCUUGGAUGUGGGGGCUUGCAGAAUCCAUCCAUGGUGUCCUGCUCUCCUUAAAUGAAUUAGCGAGUUCAAACUGGGCUCUGUCUAUUGGUGUGAU